AUGAACGCUGGCGGCGUGCCUCAUCCAUGCAAGUCGCGCGAACAGACGAGGAGCUUGCUCCUCUGACGUUAGCGGCGGACGGGUGAGUAACACGUGGAUAACCUACCUAUAAGACUGGGAUAACUUCGGGAAACCGGAGCUAAUACCGGAUAAUAUAUUGAACCGCAUGGUUCAAUAGUGAAAGACGGUUUUGCUGUCACUUAUAGAUGGAUCCGCGCCGCAUUAGCUAGUUGGUAAGGUAACGGCUUACCAAGGCAACGAUGCGUAGCCGACCUGAGAGGGUGAUCGGCCACACUGGAACUGAGACACGGUCCAGACUCCUACGGGAGGCAGCAGUAGGGAAUCUUCCGCAAUGGGCGAAAGCCUGACGGAGCAACGCCGCGUGAGUGAUGAAGGUCUUCGGAUCGUAAAACUCUGUUAUUAGGGAAGAACAAAUGUGUAAGUAACUAUGCACGUCUUGACGGUACCUAAUCAGAAAGCCACGGCUAACUACGU
rnacentral:rRNA from 1 species